GCAGCCAAUCAAGCCCUAAAAUAGUUCCAGCAGACUCAGCCCACUGAAUUUCUCUUUGUCCAGGCAACUGGUUAUUCCCGGAACCCGUGAAGGGAUAUUUCUCUGCACUCCUAACAGCAAGUACAGUACCUUAAGUAAAGAGACCACAAAUGAAAUUACGCGAGGGCUUGUUUAACGAGUCUGCGGGAGUUUCGUGAGAUAGCAUGGCUGUCAGGCUUGAAACCAGGCAGAGGCAACAAUGUUGAAAAAGUGAAAGCACAAGGAAGAAGGAUCAAUGGACUUUCAGAAGUUUAUAAAAGAGACAAAGUUUUGGAAAAGCUCAACUCCAUGGAAUAAAGUAAGCUAGCAAGGAUUACACUAGAAUAGUCACUCAUGCACAAGGGUGAGAAUUUCAGCAGCACUUAAAAGAUAUUUGGUUCACCCAUCAUCCAUUCCUGCUGAAGCUUGAGCAUGGAUUGAAAAACAAACUUCUGUGCUCAGUUGCUAAAGAACAAUGUAAAGAUCCAAUAGGAAAAAACCACUAAAGAUUUGAUCGAAGCAUGUACAAGAACAAAAGAAUGGAUUCUUCAGCACCCUCAACAAUCUGACGCCCAAGAAACAAAUGGAGGAGAUAUAAUUAACCACAAAGAGGCAAUCAGGAUGUGAUGGAAAAACACUUGGACAUUUCUCAAAUGGGACUAUCAUUUUGAGUCCAUUCCAAAACUUCUGGCACGUGGAUGAAAGAAAAAUAGAGGGUUAUGGUCUGUGUAGAAGGGAAGGUUUACAUUGAUCGUGGAGUAGAUUAAAAGUUUGGCACAACAUCAAAGGGGCCAUACUGUUCUAUGUACCUAGUCCAGCCUUUUCACCACUGCAGACAGACAACGGAGGCUGAAAAAGUCUUCGAAAAAUUUGCCAAUUCACGGACAGGACACCUGGAAUAUAAUGUUGUCCCUGAUACAACAGAGGGAAGAGCAGAACAAAGUCCUAAAAUACCCUCACACUAACCCCAUCAAUCACAUCCUGCCCUAUUUUCAGCAAUGCCAGCAGAUCCCACGUUUCAUCAGCUACCCAAAAACCCAUGAGAGGAAACGAGUUGUUUUCAAUCCCAAGGGAUUGCCUAAGAGAUGGUGGUGACUAAAGAGAUUUUAACUGAAACAUCAACUCAAUAGAACUGGGAAGAAAAAAGAAUCCAAUUGCAUAGAACAAGAUGGCACUGGGAUACAUCUACAUCUCUUCCAGGAUUCUGAGAGUGAUUAUAACUGGGAAAUUGCAUGAAUUUUCAUGAUUUAUGAGAAUAAAUGAAACAAUUAUGUUUUAAACUUAUCACUGAUCUAUGACUGAAAACUAUUUUAAACUGGCUAUAGAACAAGGGGGGGAAAAAUUCUCAAUUUUAGAUCCAGGACCACUAUUCAAUAUACAGAUGAUAGAAAUAAAUAUAUAACAGAAAGGAAUCAAAAUACAUAGUGAAAAUAACUGCCAAAGCAAUUAUCUAUUAGCUCAAAUGCAAUCGAAUGAACUUGAUGGUUGUUGAUUCCAACAAUUAACCUCCUUUCCUAAUAACAACCUUC